rnacentral:rRNA from 1 species
UACGGGGGGAGCAAGCGUUGUUCGGAUUUACUGGGCGUAAAGGGCGCGUAGGCGGUCACGACAAGUCAGUUGUGAAAUCUCCGGGCUUAACUCGGAACGGUCAACUGAUACUGUCGGACUAGAGUGCAGAAGGGGCAACUGGAAUUCUCGGUGUAGCGGUGAAAUGCGUAGACAUCGAGAGGAACACCUGCGGCGAAGGCGGGUUGCUGGGCUGACACUGACGCUGAGGCGCGAAAGCUAGGGGAGCGAACGGG